ensembl:lncRNA
GGCACUUGGCUUUGCUGGUGGCAGGGCUUGCAGGGGGAAUCUGCUGCUAGCCUCUCCUGGCUCUUUUCUGGUUUUUGCUCAGGGGAUGGCUGUUCAUCCUGGGUGCAGUUUGGAGCUGCCCAAUAAUGGCAGCAUCACUCUGUUCCCAAGGCCGCCUUCCCGAUGGGCUGGCUUGAGGCGUGGGUGGCUUUGUGGUGCAGCACGUGUCCGUGCCCUGCCCGGUGCCCUGGCACUGCUGGGGCGGUGUCGAUGGCCCCUCGGGCUCUGGGCACUGCCAGGACUCCUGGUGGACAUCAGUUCCUGCAGCCAGCAGGGCUCACCCGCCUCUGGAUGGACGUGGCUUGGAUGCCAAGAGGAAAACCAGCCCUGUCCCAGUGUAGAGCAGAGAGUGCUGAAAGCUCAGAGCUGUUCAGAGCUGGGCUGGCAGUGGAGCCAAGAAGAAGGCAGAGGAUGGAAUGCACAAUGGCUGACCCACACCUGGUGAGGCAGGAGCAGCAGAGGCUGCAGAGGCAGCUGGCAGCGGUGGCGGCGCGGCAGCAGCUGGCCCUGAGCCGGAACCGGGCGCUGCGCCGCCAGUUCCUGCGGCUGGAGGCUGACAUGGAAACCACGGGCUGGCGCAGCAUCCGCGAGAUGGAAUGGUACGGAAGGGAAAUCCGAAGGCUGUUAUCCCUCCGAGAGGGCAGCUCGUCAGCAGGAGGUGAUGAGGAGGAAGGGGCCAGCGAGCAGGUGCUGCAGGCUGGAGGACAGGCAGGAACUGGCACCAGUACAGCCGUGCCAGGAGAACUGGGCCAUGCAGCAGCAGAACUGGGCCGUCCAGCAGCAGAACUGGGCCGUCCAGCAGCAGAACUGGGCCAUGCAGCAGCAGAACUGGGCUGUCCAGGAACAGCUGCCUCAGCCACAGGAGGUUUGGGCUCGCAGCAGGAGCCCCUUCUGCGCUCCCCGUCCCCAGAGUUGCUCAGUCCCGACACCGGGAGCACUGCUGGAGAGAGUGAGGAGGAGCAUGGGGACCUGGCCACCAGUGAGGAAGGCUCUGAGCAGCUCACCUCAGCUUCCUCAGGUGCCAAAGCAGCCCCCCUGAGGCCGGGCCAGCGGCAGGGAAGCGUUCCAGGGGUAGAGCCCAGCCUGAGCAGCUGGUGGGCUCACAGGGAGGGGAGCAGAGCCGAGCUCCCACUCCCAGCCGCUGCUGAGCAGGAGACCAGGCCGAGCAUCCCCGGCACACGGCAGGAGCAGGGCAGGGAUGCCCGGGCUCCAGAGGGCUCCCUGCUGCCCCCAGCCAGCCCUCCCACGGCCCAGGAGGAGCCCUUGGACAGCUCAGCACCACACAGUAUCCCUCUCGAGUGGCACCCUGGAAGGACCACCCAGCGGGAGGAAAACAAUGGGAAACGAGCCGGCCGCUGGAAUACAGGGUUUGUAAGGCUGGGGGAAAAGAGAAAGCACUGUUUAACUGCCUAUGUGAUCUCCCUGGCAUUGUUUUGCUUAUUAAAUGUCUAGGAAACUCGGCUAAAGACACAGCAGCCCCCGCUUAAUUGUUCACUGUUGCCCAACACUCGGAGGGAAAACAGAGCCUUGGGCGCAGCUCAGCACGGGCGAGCAAAUGCUGCGGGUUUUUGUGCCCAGGGCUUCUCCCUGGAGGCAGCCUAAGCCAGGGUUAACUGUGGAAACAUGUCAGCUCCUGCCUGGGGGGGAAAGAAAGAAAGAAAAGUCUCUUCUGGCCCAGCUGCGGUGUUCAUUGCCGGCCGGGACCUGGGCUGGGAGCCGCACAAAGCGGCAGCGGGGACCUGAAUAGCCAUUUACACCUCUGGCCCGGGAUUAGCCCGCCGCAUUGUUUCAGUGCUUAAGUCCUCAUUUGCAUCAUUAUGGAGGUGCAGCCUCCUCAGAACCCCUCUGAGGUCCCAGCGCUGUCCCCAUACCUGUAGGUGGCCAGCGGAUUUGUCGGGCUGCGGAGGUGAAGGAAUUAAAGCGCUCGGCCCGGGCUGGUUUUUGGAUGGUUUGUUUUGCUCGUGCGCUUUUUUCCUCCCCCCGCUUCGGACAGAGCUGGGGAAGGUGUUCUGCCGUUUGCUUUGGAA